AUUGAACGCUGGCGGCAUGCCUAACACAUGCAAGUCGAACGGCAGCACAGAUAUAGUUUACUAUAUUGGGUGGCGAGUGGCGGACGGGUGAGUAACGCGUGGGUAUAUAACCUAAAGACGGGGACAACUUGCGGAAACGCGAGCUAAUACCGGAUAAGCUCUGAGGAGAAAAGCUGGGGAUCUGGCGACAGACCUGGCGCUUUAGGAGUAACCUGCGUCCAAUUAGCUAGUUGGUAGGGUAAAGGCCUACCAAGGCGACGAUUGGUAGCUGGUCUGAGAGGACGGACAGCCACACUGGGACUGAGACACGGCCCAGACUCCUACGGGAGGCAGCAGUGGGGAAUAUUGGACAAUGGGGGGAACCCUGAUCCAGCAAUGCCGCGUGUGUGAAGAAGGCCUGCGGGUUGUAAAGCACUUUAGUUAGGGAGGAGUGUUUGAAGGUUAAGAGCUAUCAAGCAGGACGUUACCUAAAGAAUAAGCACCGGCUAACUCCGUGCCAGCAGCCG
rnacentral:rRNA from 1 species